UGUCUUUAAGUUUAAUAGUUUAAGGUCAAAUCUGCUCACUGAAUUUUAAAGAGCUGCAGUAUUUUAACUGUGCAAAGGUAGCAUAAUCAAUAGUUUUUUAAUUGAAAACUUGUAUGAAAGAUUAGAUGAUAAAUUAGCUUUUUUUGAUUAUGUAAAUUUAAUUUAAAAUUUGAGUUAAAAUUCUUAGAUUUAAUUUAAAGACGAGAAGACCCUAUAGAUUUUUAUUAUUAGUUUGUUUGUAAUAUUAUUAAAUUUAAAUUUAUAAUUUAAUUGGGGUGAUUUUGUAAUAAAAUAAACUUAAAUAAAAUUUUACCAUAAAUAAUUGAAUAUUUUGAUUUAAAAUUUUUGAUGAAAGAAUAAAUUACCUUAGGGAUAACAGUGUAAUUUUAUUUAAGAGUUCAUAUUUAUAAUAAAGUUUGCUACCUCGAUGUUGAAUUAAGAAAUUUAUUGAAGCAGAAGUUGAUGAAAAUUAGUCUGUU
rnacentral:rRNA from 1 species